rnacentral:rRNA from 1 species
GACGAACGCUGGCGGCGUGCCUAAUACAUGCAAGUUGAGCGAUGAAGAUUGGUGCUUGCACCAAUUUGAAGAGCAGCGAACGGGUGAGUAACGCGUGGGGAAUCUGCCUUUGAGCGGGGGACAACAUUUGGAAACGAAUGCUAAUACCGCAUAAUAACUUUAAACAUAAGUUUUAAGUUUGAAAGAUGCAAUUGCAUCACUCAAAGAUGAUCCCGCGUUGUAUUAGCUAGUUGGUGAGGUAAAGGCUCACCAAGGCGAUGAUACAUAGCCGACCUGAGAGGGUGAUCGGCCACAUUGGGACUGAGACACGGCCCAAACGCCUACGGGAGGCAGCAGUAGGGAAUCUUCGGCAAUGGACGAAAGUCUGGCCGAGCAACGCCGCGUGAGUGAAGAAGGUUUUCGGAUCGUAAAACUCUGUUGGUAGAGAAGAACGUUGGUGAGAGUGGAAAGCUCAUCAAGUGACGGUAACUACCCAGAAAGGGACGGCUAACUACGUG